rnacentral:rRNA from 1 species
UACGUAGGGUGCAAGCGUUAAUCGGAAUUACUGGGCGUAAAGCGUGCGCAGGCGGUUCGGAAAGAGAGGUGUGAAAUCCCCGAGCUCAACUUGGGAAUUGCAAUGGAUACUGGCAGGCUCGAGUAUGGUAGAGGAAGGUGGAAUUCCCGGUGUAGCAGUGAAAUGCGUAGAGAUCGGGAGGAACACCAGUGGCGAAGGCGGCCUUCUGGACCAAUACUGACGCUCAUGCACGAAAGCGUGGGGAGCAAACAGG